CUAUUCUUGACAUCCAGAGAACUUUCCAGAGAUGGAUUGGUGCCUUCGGGAACUUUGAGACAGGUGCUGCAUGGCUGUCGUCAGCUCGUGUUGUGAAAUGUUGGGUUAAGUCCCGCAACGAGCGCAACCCUUAUCCUUUGUUGCCAGCGGUCCGGCCGGGAACUCAAAGGAGACUGCCAGUGAUAAACUGGAGGAAGGUGGGGAUGACGUCAAGUCAUCAUGGCCCUUACGAGUAGGGCUACACACGUGCUACAAUGGCGCAUACAAAGAGAAGCGACCUCGCGAGAGCAAGCGGACCUCAUAAAGUGCGUCGCAGUCCGGAUUGGAGUCUGCAACUCGACUCCAUGAAGUCGGAAUCGCUAGUAAUCGUAGAUCAGAAUGCUACGGUGAAUACGUUCCC
rnacentral:rRNA from 1 species